GACAGCCACCUCACUUCUUUAUCUCUUUCAUCUCUCUCUCUCUCUCUCUGAAGCUCUUUGUUUCAUCUGCAUGUUUUUUUUAUAACUUUUUCGUUAAUCUAUAAUUUUUUUAAAAUCAUUUUAUUUAUGUGAUUUUUCUCUUUUGUUUGUUUUUUCUCCUAAAGGUUUAUUCUUUAGAUCUGGAAAAAUUAUGAUUUGUUUUUCUUGCAUAUUGGUUUUUUGUCCUCGUAUUAGGAGUUUUUUUUAGAUCUACACAUGUAUUAUAUAUUUAGAUGUUUUUUUUAUUUUAUUUUGUUGCUGAGUUGGAAUUUUUAUUUUAUUUUUUCAGAAAGUGCUAUGUGUUAUAAUCCCAGCGGACCAGAGUUUUCUUCACCUCCUCUCUAUUUUUCUGCCUCUCCACCUCUUUAAUCUCUGUUUCUUUGCGUGUUUCUUGAUUUAUUUGAUUUUUUUUUUGCGAAUCAUCACAAAUCUGAAGGUUUAUUUAUCAGAUCUGAACUUUGCACGUGCUAAUGUAAUAUGGGCCAAGCGAAAUAGAAUUCGAGGAUGGAAGAGGGAGCAACGGCAAUGCACACCGAGUGUUUGAUAAAAAGACUUGAACCUCGGUUUCCCCCGCGCCUUCCCAAGUGAAUUUCAUCUGCUUUGUUCUUUCCCUACAAUUA